GCUGGUUGUACUGGCACAAUCCAUCAUAAAAUUGUCCCUUUAGGAAGGGAUAACUAAAUUUUAUAUGCAGUUGAUAAAGUUAGUGUAGCUUGUUAUGAACUAUCAAUAAACUAGGUUCUAGUGAAAUUUAAUGACUAUAUUUUUUUUUGUGUGCAUGUAAGAGAGAGACAUCGAGUAGGCCCAAAGACUCCAAAUCAAAAAAUUAAAAAUCACCGAUGCUCUGCAUGGACCUGAGGAGACCUGCGACAAAGUUCUCUGCAAGAGUCCAUGGUGAUCCAGACUCUCUAAGGACAACAAACAUCAUGCUCUAGAUCGUUGCACACUAAGAACCCUGCAGCAGCGAUCUAGUUCGCAUCUCCCCCACUUCAAAGGACCUGAGAUAUACCUCC
rnacentral:lncRNA from 1 species